rnacentral:misc_RNA from 1 species
AACUGAUACUACCUGCGGGAACCUGCGGAAGGAUCAUUACCGAGUUAUACAACUCAUCAACCCUGUGAACAUACCUAUAACGUUGCCUCGGCGGGAACAGACGGCCCCGUAACACGGGCCGCCCCCGCCAGAGGACCCCCUAACUCUGUUUCUAUAAUGUUUCUUCUGAGUAAACAAGCAAAUAAAUUAAAACUUUCAACAACGGAUCUCU